CCUACGGGUGGCUGCAGUGGGGAAUAUUGCACAAUGGGGGAAACCCUGAUGCAGCGACGCCGCGUGAGUGAAGAAGUCUUUCGGUAUGUAAAGCUCUAUUCGCAGGGAAAAAAAUGACGGUACCUGAGCAAGAAGCCACGGAUAACUACGAGCCAGCACCGGUGGUACUACGUAGGGGGCAGGGGUUAUCCGGAUUAACUGGGUGUAAAGGGAGCGUGGAGGGCGGGGCAAGUCGGGAGGGAAAGUGGGGGGCUCAACCCCCAGACUGCUCUUGAAACUGCAAGACUGGAGUGCAGGAGAGGUAAGCGGAAUUCCUGGUGUAGCGGUGAAAUGCGUAGAUAUUAGGAGGAACACCAGUGGCGAAGGCGGCUUACUGGACUGUAACUGACGUUGAGGCUCGAAAGCGUGGGGAGCAAACAGGAUUAGAUACCCGGGUAGUC
rnacentral:rRNA from 1 species